ensembl:lncRNA
GUGGGGUGAUGGAGUGUGGAGUGGGACCCCAUUGGGGGACCCCAUAAGAUUUGGGGUUCUCCAUAUUGGGGUCCCUACACUGGAGUGGGGACCCCAGUGUGUGGGGCAAUGGGGUGUGGGGUGGGACCCCAAUGGGAUCCCAUAGGGGGAAUGGGGGCUCAAUGUGUGGGGCAGUGGGGUGUGGGGUGGGACCCCAAUGGGAUCCCAUAGGGGGAAUGGGGGGAUCAAUGUGUGGGGCAGUGGGGUUUGGGGUGGGAUCCCAUUGGGAUCCCAUAAGGGGAAUGGGGGCACAAUGUGUGGGGCAAUGGGAUGUAGGGUGGGACCCCAUUGGGAUCCCAUAAGGUGUGGGGUUCUCCAUCAUUGGGGUCCCAUUGGGAGGAGAAUGGGGCGCAAUGUGUGGGGUAAUGGGGUGUGGGGUGGGACCCCAAUGGGAUCCCAUAGGGGGGGAAUGGGGGCUCAAUGUGUGGGGCAAUGGGGUGUGGGGUGGGACCCCAAUGGGAUCCCAUAGGGGGGGAAUGGGGGCUCAAUGUGUGGGGCAAUGGGGUGUGGGGUGGGACCCCAUUGGGAUCCCAUUGGGGGGGAAUGGGGCUCAAUGUGUGGGGCAAUGGGGUGUGGGGUGGGACCCCAUUGGGGGACCCCAUAAACUUUGGGGUUCUCCAUAUUGGGGUCCCUACACUGGAGUGGGGACCCCAGUGUGUGGGGCAGUGGGGUGUGGGGUGGGACCCCAUUGGGAUCCCAUAAGGUGUGGGGUUCUCCAUCAUUGGGGUCCCAUUGGGAAGGGAAUGGGGGCGCAGUGGGGGGGGCAAUGGGGUGUGGGGUGGGACCCCAAUGGGAUCCCAUAGGGAGGGGGAUGGGGGCUCAAUGUGUGGGGCAAUGGGGUGUGGAGUGGGACCCCAUUGGGGGACCUCAUAAACUUUGGGGUUCUCCAUAUUGGGGUCCCUACACUGGAGUGGGGACCCCAAUGUGUGGGGCAAUGGGGUGUGGGGUGGGACCCCAUUGGGGGACCCUAUAAAGUGUGGGGCUCUCCAUAUUGGGAUCCCAUGGGGAGGGGAAUGGGGGCUCAAUGUGGGGGGUAAUGGGGUGUGGGGUGGGACCCCAUUGGGAUCCCAUAAGGUGUGGGGUUCUCCAUCAUUGGGGUCCCAUUGGGAGGAGAAUGGGGCGCAAUGUGUGGGGCAAUGGGGUGUGGGGUGGGACCCCAUUGGGAUCCCAUAGGGGGGGAAUGGGGGCACAAUGUGUGGGGCAAUGGAGUGUGGGGUGGGACCCCAUUGGGGGACCCCAUAAGGUGUGGGGUUCUCCAUAUUGGGGUCCCUACACUGGAGUGGGGACCCCAAUGUGUGGGGCAAUGGGGUGUGGGGUGGGACCCCAUUGGGGGACCCCAUAAAGUGUGGGGCUCUCCAUCAUUGGGGUCCUAUUGGGAGGGGAAUGGGGGCUCAAUGUGGGGGGUAAUGGGGUGUGGGGUGGGACCCCAUUGGGGGACCCCAUAAGGUGUGGGGUUCUCCAUAUUGGGGUCCUAUGGGGAGAGGAAUGGGGGCUCAAUGUGUGGGGUAAUGGGAUAUGGGGUGGGGUGGGACCCCAUUGGGAUCCCAUAGGGGGGGAAUGGGGCUCAAUGUGUGGGGUAAUGGGAUGUGGGGUGGGACCCCAUUGGGUGACCCCAUAAACUUUGGGUCCCCCAUUAUUGAGCCAUGGGGUGACCCCAUAAACUUUGGGCCCCCAUUAUAGGGCUAUAAGGUGACCCCAUAAACUUUGGGCCCCCCGUUAUUGGGAUUUUGGGGUCCCCUAUUAUAGGGCCAUGGGGUGACCCCAAUUUAGGGUCCCCCCCGAUGGGAUUUGGGGUCCCCCAUUACAGAGCUAUGGGGUGACCCCAUAAACUUUGGGCCCCCCAUUAUUGGGGUCCCCCUUUAUAGGGCUAUGGGGUGACCCCAAUGUUUGGGUCCCCCCCAAUGGGAUUUGGGGUCCCCCAUUACAGAGCUAUGGGGUGACCCCAUAAACUUUGGGCCCCCCAUUAUUGGGGUCCCCCUUUAUAGGGCUAUGGGGUGACCCCAAUGUUAGGGUCCCCCCGAUGGGAUUUGGGGUCCCCCCUCACCUCUCUUUGCCGUCGCCCCCAUUAUUGGGGUCCCCCAUUAUAGGGCCAUGGGGUGACCCCAAUUUAGGGUCCCCCCCGAUGGGAUUUGGGGUCCCCCAUUACAGAGCUAUGGGGUGACCCCACAAACUUUGGGCCCCCCAUUAUUGGGGUCCCCCAUUAUAGGGCCAUGGGGUGACCCCAAUUUAGGGUCCCCCCGAUGGGAUUUGGGGUCCCCCCUCACCUCUCUUUGCCGUCGCCCUCCAUGUCCAACGAUUGGCUGAGGAACUCCUCCAGGUCGAAGCCCACCCCAUAUCCCGCCCCGCUGCCUUUUGGGGUCACCGAGAAGACGGGGGGCAAAAUGUCCUCCACCUUUAUGGGGGAAAAGGGGGGGGGGGGGGGAAGAGAGGACCCCAAAAACGUGACCCCAAAAUGGAGACCCCAAAUCCAUGACCCCAAAUUAAGAUCACCAACCCAUCCUAAGACCCCAAAUGGAGACCCCAAUUCUCUGACCCCAAAUGGAGACCCCCAACCCAUCCUGUGAUCCCAAAUGGAGACCCCAAAUCCAUGACCCCAAAUGGAGACCCCCAACCAUCUCGUGAUCCCAAAUGGAGACCCCAAUUCUAUGAUCCCAAAUGGAGACCCCAAUGCUAUGACCCCAAAUGGAGACCCCAAUACUAUGACCCCAAAUGGAAACCCCAAUUCUCUGACCCCAAAUGGAGACCCCCAACCCAUCCUGUGAUCCCAAAUGGAGACCCCAAAUCCAUGACCCCAAAUGGAGACCCCAAAUCCAUGACCCCAAAAUGGAAACCCCAAUUCUAUGACCCCAAA